AUGCCAUCGGUUAACCCAAGUCCUACAAAUCAGCCACAACCACAGCGAGAACCAAGGAGACCCCGAAGAAGGGAAGAUUAUCAUCACCAACAACAACAUGUUUUUUCUGUCACCCCUAUGAGGAAAAGGUUGAGGGCCUCUCUUCUUAAACUUGCUGCGGCUGAAACUGUUUAUGGAGUGUGGGCUUUUCGUAAUGAUAUUACCUUUGGCAGACAAAUAGAUAUUGAGAGUGCCACUCUUGAUAUUAUUUACAAGAUAGUGUUUAGGAACUGGUUUAAUAAAGUUCUAAAGCUGCAUAUUAUUAAUUUUAUGAUAAAAAAGAAAAUUAAUCUAAAAGGUUUUUCCCUGCCGGAACAUCUCCGACCGAUCUUUUUCCUCCGGCGAUCCCUCUCCGAUGAUUCCUCACUAUGA